rnacentral:rRNA from 1 species
GAUCAUGGCUCAGGACGAACGCUGGCGGCGUGCUUAACACAUGCAAGUCGAACGAGAAUCUGCGGAAAGAGGAUUCGUCCAAUUGAAGCAGAGGACAGUGGCGGACGGGUGAGUAACGCGUGAGGAACCUGCCUUUCAGAGGGGGGACAACAGUUGGAAACGACUGCUAAUACCGCAUAACAUAUAGAUGUCGCAUGGCAUUUAUAUCAAAGAUUUAUCGCUGAAAGAUGG